UAGGGAAUCUUCCGCAAUGGACGCAAGUCUGACGGAGCAACGCCGCGUGAGUGAAGAAGGAUUUCGGUUCGUAAAACUCUGUUGUUAGAGAAGAACAGCGCAUAGAGUAACUGUUAUGCGUGUGACGGUAUCUAACCAGAAAGCCACGGCUAACUACGUGCCAGCAGCCGCGGUAAUACGUAGGUGGCAAGCGUUGUCCGGAUUUAUUGGGCGUAAAGCGAGCGCAGGCGGUCAAUUAAGUCUGAUGUGAAAGCCCCCGGCUCAACCGGGGAGGGUCAUUGGAAACUGGUUGACUUGAGUGCAGAAGAGGAGAGUGGAAUUCCAUAUGUAGCGGUGAAAUGCGUAGAUAUCUGGAGGAAUACCAGUGGCGAAGGCGACUCUCUGGUCUGUAACUGACGCAAAGGCUCGAAAGCGUGGGUAGCAAACAGG
rnacentral:rRNA from 1 species